GUAUAUCCUAGGAUAUCCGUAUGCUUAACAAUGUAUGGCUGCGGUCUUUCUUGCAACUGCAAACUGAACGUGUUUGGUUAAGAAUCAAGUACAUGUAGAUAGAAGAAAAACACCAAGAAACUGCCAAACUUCAAAUCAAACCAAGAAAAUCGUAGAUUUUUUUAAGUCACGAAGAGGACCCCAUAUCUCAAUUUAAAUGGAAUUAGGAAUUAAAGACAUUGCCGUCUUGCAAAGCAUAAUUAAACAAACGGAAUUC
rnacentral:lncRNA from 1 species